GCUGGGGAUUUUUUUUGUAACUGUCACACUUCCUUUUUACACAUCUAGCCUGAAGGAUAAUGUAUAAGGGAGUUUUUCCAUUUAAAGUGACAUUAUUCAUAUCGGAAUUAUUUAUUCAGAGUCUCCACUUGGGAUAAGUUUGCCUUUUGGUGUCCCAAGUCACCAGUUUAUCUUGAAUCCCGAACCGAGGAAAACUUCGACUUUCGAAUGGAGUCUGCAAACCAGAAAUUCUGAAUAAGGAAUUGUGUUGACUCGAGGGAAGGUGUUAGGAACCCUCGGAUCUCGUGGUUCUAGCACGGUCGCUUAACUUGUUAUGAAUGGCUAAAAUCUGAUUUUAAUACAUGAAAUGCCUAUGUGCCAAUUUUAUCUUUAACGGCUUUUAUUUAAUAUGUAUUUAUUUGAGAAAGUGAACGUCGUUUAAAAUGUGUUUUCGAAUUGCGCCGCAUGAAAUGAACCCGCAAUCCAAGACACACUCUAUUCAACAUUUCAAGAUUUCGAUUUGGGCCGCAUAAAAUGUUCACCCGUAUUUAGGAAUGUAAUAUUAUUAUACGCGCCUAAAGCAACUAGCGCGUGGUUAACUUUGUGGGAGGCCAUGAAAAUUCAAUAAUGGCAUGUCCCGAUUUCUAAGUUCAAAGGAUUUUAUUCGAAAUUGUUAUAAUUGGGUUACACGAAAUGCACCCCAAAUUGAGAUUCACGCAAAUGACCUACUAAAGACUUCUCUCCUAAUACUACUAUGCCUUCCAUUAUGACCAAGGGUUUUUCAUAUAAACAAAGAAUCAAGUUUUCAAUUCCAUGUAUUCUUUAGCUUAAAACUAUUCUACUGAUUCAUAGAACAAAGAAUUGUGAUUCAUUUAGAAUGGAAGAGGUCAAAUAAAACUUGUGCAUUAUUUUAACACAUACAGAGUAAUUCGAAGCAGAGCCAAAUCUACAAUCAAUCAUUGGAGAACAUUUUAAACACAUGAAUAAACUACUACAACUUUAUCAAAAUAUAACAUGCCAAAACAGUGAUCACAUGACUUUAAAGUUGAAUUGAUACCUUGGCAGUAGCGAAAUGAGCAGAAAUAAUCAGCAUGGAAGCAGCAAAAUCAACGACAAAAUUAAGCAAGUCCAACGGCUCCAAAAAUACUUAGAUUGAAUUCUCAAUUAAUUAGCUGAAAAUCUGAAUAUUAACAUAUUUCCGGCGCCGAAAUUGAGCGUGCAACAGGAACUAAUUGCAGCUGAAACGCCGAAUAGCAGAAAAAAGUAACCCACAACGCGCUAAAUGAAGAUAAUGACGAACACGGACAGAGCUUAACAAAACAGCAACAGCAAUUUCAGCAACAAAUUUGGCGAGUCACAAAUAGAUUCAACAGCAAAUUUCGACCUCAAAAACCUCUUUGAAACCCAGAUUUUCAAAAACCUUUUCCUUGAUUUUCAGAUCUAAUUGGUGUUUUUGAAAAAAUAUGACUGAUUUUUUUUAUGUAUUGCAACUACUGGUCUCCGGGGGGUGGUCGUUGAUGGUGGUCGUGAGACGAAGAGGAAGCUGGGCGACGGGGCUGGCUGAGACGACAAGGAAGAUGGAGCAGAAAGGGUUUUUGGUUGGAGGAGAGAGGUUGCCUUUACUUCAGCAAAAAUGGAGCCCCUUAUUGGUGUUUUUGCGUAUAUCGUGUGGGUAUGUCUAGGUUGUAUUAUAUAGAUCUGAGACUAGGAUUUUAGGAUGAGGUAAUGGGCUUGAG
rnacentral:lncRNA from 1 species